UACGGAGGAUGCGAGCGGUAUCCGGAUUUAUUGGGUUUAAAGGGUGCGUAGGCGGAUCGUUAAGUCAGUGGUCAAAUUGAGGGGCUCAACCCCUUCCCGCCAUUGAAACUGGCGAUCUUGAGUGGAAGAGAAGUAUGCGGAAUGCGUGGUGUAGCGGUGAAAUGCAUAGAUAUCACGCAGAACCCCGAUUGCGAAGGCAGCAUGCCGGCUUCCGACUGACGCUGAAGCACGAAAGCGUGGGGAUCGAACAGG
rnacentral:rRNA from 1 species